AACUGGAAAUGAGGCAGUCCAGCUGGAUUCCAGCUGGGUCCAGUUGGGUUCCAGCUGGGUCCAGCUGGAAUCCAGCUGGACUGUCUCAUAUCCAGUUC
rnacentral:pre_miRNA from 1 species